AGUGAACGCUGGCGGUAGGCCUAACACAUGCAAGUCGAACGGCAGCACAGUAAGAGCUUGCUCUUACGGGUGGCGAGUGGCGGACGGGUGAGGAAUACAUCGGAAUCUACUUUUUCGUGGGGGAUAACGUAGGGAAACGUACGCUAAUACCGCAUACGACGUACGGGUGAAAGCAGGGGAUCUUCGGACCUUGCGCGAUUGAAUGAGCCGAUGUCGGAUUAGCUAGUUGGCGGGGUAAAGGCCCACCAAGGCGACGAUCCGUAGCUGAUCUGAGAGGAUGAUCAGCCACACUGGAACUGAGACACGGUCCAGACUCCUACGGGAGGCAGCAGUGGGGAAUAUUGGACAAUGGGCGCAAGCCUGAUCCAGCCAUACCGCGUGGGUGAAGAAGGCCUUCGGGUUGUAAAGCCCUUUUGUUGGGAAAGAAAAGCAGCAGGUUAAUACCCCGCUGUUCUGACGGUACCCAAAGAAUAAGCACCGGCUAACUUCGUG
rnacentral:rRNA from 1 species